UACGUAGGCAGCGAGCGUUGUUCGGAGUUACUGGGCGUAAAGGGUGUGUAGGCGGUUGUUUAAGUUUGGUGUGAAAUCUCCCGGCUCAACUGGGAGGGUGCGCCGAAUACUGAAUGACUUGGAGUGCGGGAGAGGAAAGUGGAAUUCCUGGUGUAGCGGUGAAAUGCGUAGAUAUCAGGAGGAACACCGGUGGCGAAGGCGGCUACCUGGACAGAAACUGACGCUGAGGCGCGAAAGCUAGGGGAGCAAACAGG
rnacentral:rRNA from 1 species